rnacentral:tRNA from 1 species
GCGAGAGUAGUUCAGAGGAAGAACGUCUCCUUGCCAAGGAGAAGGUCGCGGGUUCGAGUCCCGUCUCUCGCU